UGGGGAAUAUUGGACAAUGGGCGCAAGCCUGAUCCAGCCAUGCCGCGUGAGUGACGAAGGCCUUAGGGUUGUAAAGCUCUUUUGGCGGGGAAGAUAAUGACGGUACCCGCAGAAUAAGCUCCGGCUAACUUCGUGCCAGCAGCCGCGGUAAUACGAAGGGAGCUAGCGUUGUUCGGAAUCACUGGGCGUAAAGCGCACGUAGGUGGGCAGUUAAGUCAGGGGUGAAAGCCCGAGGCUCAACCUCGGAAUUGCCUCUGAUACUGGCUGUCUAGAGUGCAGAAGGGGCAAUCGGAAUUCUUGGUGUAGCGGUGAAAUGCGUAGAUAUCAAGAGGAACACCUGAGGUGAAGACGGGUUGCUGGGCUGACACUGACGCUGAGGCGCGAAAGCCAGGGGAGCAAACGGGAUUAGAUACCCCCGUAGUCCCUGAGCGGGCUGGCAAGGCGCAU
rnacentral:rRNA from 1 species